ACAGCAGUCGCCGCGGGAAAACGAAAGGUGCAAGCGUUAAUCGGAAUUACUGGGCGUAAAGCGUGCGUAGGCGGUGAGUUAAGUCUGCUGUGAAAUCCCCGGGCUCAACCUGGGAAUGGCAGUGGAUACUGGCUCGCUAGAGUGUGUCAGAGGAUGGUGGAAUUCCCGGUGUAGCGGUGAAAUGCGUAGAGAUCGGGAGGAACAUCAGUGGCGAAGGCGGCCAUCUGGGACAACACUGACGCUGAGGCACGAAAGCGUGGGGAGCAAACAGGAUUAGAGACCCCGGUAGUCCCUGUCUCUUAUAC
rnacentral:rRNA from 1 species